AUUUGAUGUUGAGUGCAUUUGAUGCAUAAUUUCUUGAAUCUCUCUCAAUAAUCAUAGAACGACUCUCAUAGAUGUUACUUGAUGCCGCAUAUCUUUUUCCUCAGACU